AGAGUUUGAUCAUGGCUCAGGACGAACGCUGGCGGCGUGCCUAACACAUGCAAGUCGAGCGGAGAUUGCAGCAAUGUGAUCUUAGCGGCGGACAGGUGAGUAACGCGUGGGUAACCUGCCUUAGACAGGGGGAUAACACAGGGAAACUUGUGCUAAUACCGCAUAACAUCAUUAGGUGGCAUCACUUGAUGAUCAAAGGAGUAAUCCGGUUUAAGAUGGACCCGCGUCCGAUUAGCUAGUUGGUGGUGUAAUGGACCACCAAGGCGACGAUCGGUAGCCGAACUGAGAGGUUGAUCGGCCACAUUGGGACUGAGACACGGCCCAGACUCCUACGGGAGGCAGCAGUGGGGAAUAUUGCACAAUGGAGGAAACUCUGAUGCAGCAACGCCGCGUGAAGGAUGAAGGUUUUCGGAUUGUAAACUUCUUUGAUGAGGGACGAAUAAAUGACGGUACCUCAAAAACAAGCCACGGCUAACUACGUGCCAGCAGCCGCGGUAAUACGUAGGUGGCGAGCGUUGUCCGGAAUUACUGGGUGUAAAGGGCGUGUAGGCGGGAUCAUAAGUCAGAUGUGAAAUUCCACGGCUUAACUGUGGGGCUGCAUCUGAAACUAUGGUUCUUGAGUGCUGGAGAGGAAAGCGGAAUUCCCAGUGUAGCGGUGAAAUGCGUAGAUAUUGGGAGGAACACCAGUGGCGAAGGCGGCUUUCUGGACAGUAACUGACGCUGAGGCGCGAAAGCGUGGGGAGCAAACAGGAUUAGAUACCCUAGUAGUCC
rnacentral:rRNA from 1 species